rnacentral:tRNA from 1 species
GCGGGCGUAGCUCAGUGGUAGAGCAUAACCUUGCCAAGGUUGGGGUCGCGAGUUCGAAUCUCGUCGCCCGCU